rnacentral:rRNA from 1 species
AGCAGCCGCGGUAAUUCCAGCUCCAAUAGCGUAUAUUAAAGUUGUUGCAGUUAAAAAGCUCGUAGUUGAAUUUCGAGAUCAAAUUGUUGGUCGUGCCUUGGUACGCACUGGCAUUAUUGGUUUCUCCCUUCUGACGAACCAUGAUGUCAUUAAUUUGGUGUCUUGGGGAAUCAGGACUGUUACUUUGAAAAAAUUAGAGUGUUUAAAGCAGGCUCACGCUUGAAUACAUUAGCAUGGAAUAAUGAAAUAGGACGUUUGAUUCUAUUUUGUUGGUUUCUAGGAUCGACGUAAUGAUUAAUAGGGAUAGUUGGGGGCAUUAGUAUUCAAUUGUCAGAGGUGAAAUUCUUGGAUUUUAUUGAAGACUAACUACUGCGAAAGCAUUUGCCAAGGAUGUUUUCAUUAAUCAAGAACGAAAGUUAGGGGAUCGAAGACGAUCAGAUACCGUCGUAGUCUUAACCAUAAACUAUGCCGACUAGGGAUCGG